rnacentral:rRNA from 1 species
UACGUAGGGCGCAGGCGUUGUCCGGAAUUAUUGGGCGUAAAGAGCUCGUAGGCGGCCAGUUGCGUCUGCUGUGAAAUCCCGGGGCUCAACCCCGGGCGUGCAGUGGAUACGGGCUGGCUAGAGGCAGGCAGGGGAGAACGGAAUUCCCGGUGUAGCGGUGAAAUGCGCAGAUAUCGGGAGGAACACCGGUGGCGAAGGCGGUUCUCUGGGCCUGUACUGACGCUGAGACGCGAAAGCGUGGGGAGCAAACAGG